UCUAUGGAGAGUUUGAUCCUGGCUCAGGACGAACGCUGGCGGCGUGCUUAACACAUGCAAGUCGAGCGAGGCUCUGCUCUUCGGAGCGGAUGCCCUAGCGGCGAACGGGUGA
rnacentral:rRNA from 1 species